AGAGUGCUAAGGAUUGAGGGAUUAAGAGGAGGUGAUUGUAUUAUUCCUCUUUUCAGAUAAUUGAGAGAGAGAAGAGAACAGCAGUAGCCUUGCCAGAAAUAUUGAGCAAGGCAGAUUUAUUAGAUGAAGGUAUCAAAAUACUUUCCAUUGAGGAAACAGGUUGGAGGUGGGAGGCUGUAACCAUGCUUGAUUUUGUACCACCCUAACCUUUGCUUAGAUUUUUUUUCUUUUUGCCCAAGAUGGCAAGUUGCUUAAAACCUAAGGCUCCUUUCAAUUCUUUACAAUCCAAGAUUAUAUGGAAUGGACUGGGAACAGAGAGGGACUGGCAUUUAAAGUCUUUUAAUGUUUCAAUUCAUGCCAUCACAUCUUUGAAAACUGGCAAUUCAACCUUGCCUUGAGCAUUUCCAUGUACAGGAAACACAUGAUCUCUUAAGGAGUCCAUUUCACCGUCAGACGGUUCUGAAGGAUGUAAGGGGUUCUCAACAUUGAAACCAGUGCUGGCUCCUGGUUUGAAUUUCUGUAGCCACUCCAGUCUGGUUCUUGUGCUCACCAUUCCUCCAAAUUGGCCGCCUAUGACUUCUAUGACAAUAAAUCCAAUGGACCCUU